UAUAACAAUUUCCACCCUGGACGUGCCCUAUCUUGUCUGAUCUCGGAAGCUAAGCAGGGUCAGGCCUGGUUAGGACUUGGAUGAGAGACCACCUAGGAAUACCAAGUGCUGUAGGAG
rnacentral:rRNA from 1 species